GGGGAAUUUUGGACAAUGGGCGCAAGCCUGAUCCAGCCAUGCCGCGUGAGUGAAGAAGGCCUUCGGGUUGUAAAGCUCUUUCGGCUGGGAAGAAAUCGCAUCUCCUAAUACGGGGUGUGGAUGACGGUACCAGCAUAAGAAGCACCGGCUAACUACGUGCCAGCAGCCGCGGUAAUACGUAGGGUGCGAGCGUUAAUCGGAAUUACUGGGCGUAAAGCGUGCGCAGGCGGUUUCGUAAGACAGACGUGAAAUCCCCGGGCUCAACCUGGGAACUGCAUUUGUGACUGCGAGGCUAGAGUAUGGCAGAGGGGGGUGGAAUUCCACGUGUAGCAGUGAAAUGCGUAGAGAUGUGGAGGAACACCGAUGGCGAAGGCAGCCCCCUGGGCCAAUACUGACGCUCAUGCACGAAAGCGUGGGGAGCAAAC
rnacentral:rRNA from 1 species